UCAGGUUUGUGCUGUUUCACAUGACCACUGAUCUUUCUGGGCCAGUAAGAACAGCAGAAACUUGGGUCUUCCUGACGUCUGCACCUGCAAACAACCAAGAUGGAAGGAAUGAACCAUGGUGGCGGAGGGGAGGGGAGGGAGAAAUCCUGUGCUGGACAAAUUAUCAUCACCCAACAUUUAGGUCCUGAAAGACAGGCACAGUCAAUGUCUAAUCCUUGUCUGUAUAUACUGCAGACUCUAAAAUGCUUAUUCAUAGCUUCAGAAGAAGCAUAAUACACCGUAACCUUAGCACACACAAUCUAUUUCAACAGAGGGAUACAGACAAGUGCAGUCAAUGGUGGAUUUUAACGUCGUGGCAGAGCUUAUAUUACCUGGCUGGAAACAAAAUCUUUUCCCCCCUUCAAAUGCAAGUCCCUCGACGCCCCCAUCGGAGAUCAUUUGUUAUGCAGAGUUGUGUGAGGCAAUCAAAAUUAAUUCACAGUGAUCUUUUCACCCAGAACCUCCAGCUUCUAAUAAUGGCCCUUCUCAACAGGUGUUCAUUGUGGCAGCCUGACUUCAAAUUGCCAGACUAA
rnacentral:lncRNA from 1 species